GCCGGAGUGGCGGAAUUGGCAGACGCGCCGGACUCAAAAUCCGGUGGGCUUCGGCCCUUGAGGGUUCGAGUCCCUCCUCCGGCA
rnacentral:tRNA from 1 species